AAGGGUGGCCGAGGGGUUAAGGCUCCGGUCUUGAAAACCGUCGUGCGGGGAACCGUACCGUGGGUUCGACCAUCCCAUCCGCC
rnacentral:tRNA from 1 species